rnacentral:rRNA from 1 species
CUACGGGACGCUGCAGUGGGGAAUAUUGCACAAUGGGCGCAAGCCUGAUGCAGCAACGCCGCGUGAGGGAUGAAGGCCUUCGGGUUGUAAACCUCUUUUAGCAGGGAAGAAGCGAAAGUGACGGUACCUGCAGAAAAAGCACCGGCUAACUACGUGCCAGCAGCCGCGGUAAUACGUAGGGUGCAAGCGUUGUCCGGAAUUAUUGGGCGUAAAGAGCUCGUAGGCGGUUUGUCACGUCUGCUGUGAAAAUCCAAGGCUCAACCUUGGACUUGCAGUGGGUACGGGCAGGCUAGAGUGCGGUAGGGGAGAUGGGAAUUCCUGGUGUAGCGGUGGAAUGCGCAGAUAUCAGGAGGAACACCAAUGGCGAAGGCACAUCUCUGGGCCGUAACUGACGCUGAGGAGCGAGAGCGUGGGGAGCGAACAGGAUUAGAUACCCUCGUAGUC